rnacentral:rRNA from 1 species
AUGAAGUUGAAGGAAAGGGUAUGGUUCAAUCCCAAACUACCAGACCUAGAAGAACAGUUUUGUAAGGGAUUGUGCUUCACAAGUGUUUAUGAGUACAGAGAUGCACUUAGGGAUUUUCACAUUAGGACAUUGACGAACUUUCAAUACCGUAGAAAUGCCCCAGAUAGGAUUAUUGUUUCGUGCUCAGAAAGUGCACAGGGAUGUGACUUUUAUAUCACUGCUUCUAAGAUUGCUCAUGAGAAAACGUUCUUCAUCAAGAAGUGUGAUAUUGUGCACACUUGUGGAGCAUGUGCAGAGUCCACGAAGGUUACUACAAAAUGGUUGUCCAGAUCAGUACAAGAAGAAUUGAGAGAAGACAUUAGAUCUCACGUGGAUGCAUUAAUUAAAAAGACAAAGACCAAGUUUUCAGUGGAUGUGUCAAGGAGUGUGGCAUAUAGGGCAAGGAGGAAGGUUGUUGAUGUGGUGAAAGGUGACCACAAGCAGCAGUACUUGAGGUUGAGAGAUUAUCUUCAAGCUAUUGUUGAUACAAACCCCGGGAUCAGGUUUAUAGUGACAACAUUUAAAGAUCUAGAAAACCCAGCACCUACUCCUAGAUUCAAGUAUCUUUUCCACUGUUUAGCAGUUUCAAAGGAAGGUUUCCUUAAUGGUUGUCGACCAUUUAUAGCCACAGGAAGGGAUGGCAACAACAACAUCUACCACAUAGCUUUUGGUGUGGUUGACAAGGAAGAUGGAGACAGUUGGACUUGGUGUUUAACUCAGUUGAGAUGUUGCAUUGGUAGUGGCAAAAAAUUUGGAACAUACACCAUCAUAUAUGACAGGCAAAAUGUUAGUGUCUUAUGCACAAAUAUGUUUGAUCAGUGUGGUUUUAGUGCCUGUUGGAAUUAUUUAAGUUUGAUCAUGUGCAUUACUAAUUUGUUAAUGUACAGGGCUUGCUUAAGGCAAUAA